rnacentral:lncRNA from 1 species
GAAUAAAAAUAUAAAUGCGAGUUUAAUUAUAAAAAGACUUAUUUAUAUGUAAAGUUUCAACUGUUAGAUCAAAGUUUAAUAGAUAAAAUUUUAUAAAUUUAUUUUAUAUAUAUAUUUAAUCUAUUUUUUUUAAUUUAUUGUUUGUUGGCCAGCUCGUGAGCCAGUUCGUGUUCGGCUAAUUAAUAAACGAGCCGAAUACGAGCUGAAUUUUUCGACUCGAUAUUUUAACGAGCCAACUUGUGUUCGACUCGUUUAAUAAAUGAGCUGAACACGAGCCGAACCCAGCUCAUUCGUGUCCGGCUCGUUUACACCCCUAC